UACGUAGGGUGCGAGCGUUGUCCGGAAUUAUUGGGCGUAAAGAGCUCGUAGGCGGUGUGUCACGUCGGCCGUGAAAACCUGCAGCUUAACUGUGGGCGUGCGGUCGAUACGGGCAUCACUGGAGUUCGGCAGGGGAGACUGGAAUUCCUGGUGUAGCGGUGAAAUGCGCAGAUAUCAGGAGGAACACCGGUGGCGAAGGCGGUUCUCUGGGCAUGUCCUGACGCUGAGGAGCGAAAGUGUGGGGAGCGAACAGG
rnacentral:rRNA from 1 species